GACGAACGCUGGCGGCGUGCUUAACACAUGCAAGUCGAACGGAAAGGCCCCUUUGGGGGUACUCGAGUGGCGAACGGGUGAGUAACACGUGCGUAACCUGCCCUUGACUUCGGGAUAACUUCAGGAAACUGGGGCUAAUACCGGAUAGGAAUCCUUGCUGCAUGGUGGGGGUUGGAAAGCUUCGGCGGUUUUGGAUGGACUCGCGGCUUAUCAGCUUGUUGGUGGGGUAGUGGCUUACCAAGGCUUUGACGGGUAGCCGGCCUGAGAGGGCGACCGGCCACAUUGGGACUGAGAUACGGCCCAGACUCCUACGGGAGGGAGCAGUGGGGAAUAUUGAACAAUGGGCGGAAGCCUGAUGCAGCAACGCCGCGUGCGGGAUGACGGCCUUCGGGUUGUAAACCGCUUUCAGCAGGGGCGAAGCUUGUGGUGACGGUACCUGCAGAAGAAGCACCGGCUAACUACGUG
rnacentral:rRNA from 1 species